AGACGAUAAGAAGAAAGAGGAGCACCACUAAUCCCAUGGUUCACAUUGGUGGGAACUUUACAAAUAUUUAAUGGAGAACUCUCUAGUUUAUGCUACCUCGCAAGCUUCUUCAACACACUACAUGGAAAUUUGUCAAUUGAGAAAGAAAGAAAAGAAAGAUAAGCCAACAAUGCUUAACUAUAAAGUUACAAAGGUUUCUCUCACAAUCUUUUCUCAUCUUAAUAUUGUACACCUUCAUUACUAUUUUAAGAAGGGUUUCAAUAGGUGUCAAUCAAUUAAACAUAUAUCUCUCCCAAAACAAAACAACUUCAACAAUCAAAAACAUUUUUAAAAAGUCAAGGGAAGUUACAAAGGUUCCUCACAAGCUUCUUCAAUACACGUACGACAUAAAACUUACUAAUUCAGGAAUAAAGUCAAGGAAACAAUUAAUGCACAAAUGUAAAGUUACAAAGGCACCUCUCUCUCACUCUUCUCUCAUCUUAAGAUUAUACAAUACACCUUCAAUAUUGUUGUAAGACUAGUUUUGAUGGGUGUCAAUCACCAAAGCAUAUAUUGGCACGUCAUAUUAAGCAGCAUUUUAUUUGCAUGAUCCCAAACAAAAAACUUUAAAAAAAGUUUUUUACUUUCUUCCCAAUCUUCAUUCAUGGUUAUCCUUAUGUCAUAAGUUUCUUCAACACACUACAUAAAAAUUUGACAAUUUAGGAUAAAAGUCAAGGCAACAAUCCCCAUCUGUAUGUAAAGUUAGAGGUUUCUCAAUUCUCUUACAUUGUUCUAUUAUCUUUCCCAUACUCACCUUAUCACAUAUUGAUAAUUCUUCAUCAGUCAAUAUUUUUAGAGUGAAUUUUAAGUAGUUUUCA